rnacentral:rRNA from 1 species
GACGAACGCUGGCGGCGUGCCUAAUACAUGCAAGUAGAACGCUGAAGAGAGGAGCUUGCUCUUCUUGGAUGAGUUGCGAACGGGUGAGUAACGCGUAGGUAACCUGCCUUGUAGCGGGGGAUAACUAUUGGAAACGAUAGCUAAUACCGCAUAACAAUGGAUGACACAUGUCAUUUAUUUGAAAGGGGCAAUUGCUCCACUACAAGAUGGACCUGCGUUGUAUUAGCUAGUAGGUGAGGUAACGGCUCACCUAGGCGACGAUACAUAGCCGACCUGAGAGGGUGAUCGGCCACACUGGGACUGAGACACGGCCCAGACUCCUACGGGAGGCAGCAGUAGGGAAUCUUCGGCAAUGGGGGCAACCCUGACCGAGNCACGCCGCGUGAGUGAAGAAGGUUUUCGGAUCGUAAAGCUCUGUUUUGUAGUCAGAACGAGCGUGAGAGUGGAAAUUCACACUGUGACGGUAGCUUACCAGNAGGGACGGCUAACUACGUGCCAGCAGCCGCGGUAAUACGUAGGUCCCGAGCGUNGUCCGGAUUUAUGGGCGUAAAGCGAGCGCGGCGGUUUGAUAAGUCUGAAGUUAAGGCUGUGGCUCAACCAUAGUUCGCUUUGGAAACUGUCAAACUUGAGUGCAGAAGGGGAGAGUGGAAUUCCAUGUGUAGCGGUGAAAUGCGUAGAUAUAUGGAGGAACACCGGUGGCGAAAGCGGCUCUCUGGUCUGUAACUGACGCUGAGGCUCGAAAGCGUGGGGAGCGAACAGGAUUAGAUACCCUGGUAGUCCACGCCGUAAACGAUGAGUGCUAGGUGUUGGAUCCUUUCCGGGAUUCAGUGCCGCAGCUAACGCAUUAAGCACUCCGCCUGGGGAGUACGACCGCAAGGUUGAAACUCAAAGGAAUUGACGGGGGCCCGCACAAGCGGUGGAGCAUGUGGUUUAAUUCGAAGCAACGCGAAGAACCUUACCAGGUCUUGACAUCCCGAUGCUAUUUCUAGAGAUAGAAAGUUACUUCGGUACAUCGGUGACAGGUGGUGCAUGGUUGUCGUCAGCUCGUGUCGUGAGAUGUUGGGUUAAGUCCCGCAACGAGCGCAACCCCUAUUGUUAGUUGCCAUCAUUCAGUUGGGCACUCUAGCGAGACUGCCGGUAAUAAACCGGAGGAAGGUGGGGAUGACGUCAAAUCAUCAUGCCCCUUAUGACCUGGGCUACACACGUGCUACAAUGGUUGGUACAACGAGUUGCGAGUCGGUGACGGCAAGCUAAUCUCUUAAAGCCAAUCUCAGUUCGGAUUGUAGGCUGCAACUCGCCUACAUGAAGUCGGAAUCGCUAGUAAUCGCGGAUCAGCACGCCGCGGUGAAUACGUUCCCGGGCCU